rnacentral:rRNA from 1 species
AUUGAACGCUGGCGGCAGGCCUAACACAUGCAAGUCGAACGGUAACAGGAAGCAGCUUGCUGCUUUGCUGACGAGUGGCGGACGGGUGAGUAAUGUCUGGGAAACUGCCCGAUGGAGGGGGAUAACUACUGGAAACGGUAGCUAAUACCGCAUAAUGUCGCAAGACCAAAGAGGGGGACCUUCGGGCCUCUUGCCAUCGGAUGUGCCCAGAUGGGAUUAGCUUGUUGGUGAGGUAACGGCUCACCAAGGCGACGAUCCCUAGCUGGUCUGAGAGGAUGACCAGCCAACCUGGAACUAAGACACGGUCCAGACUCCUACGGGAGGCAGCAGUGGGGAAUAUUGCACAAUGGGCGCAAGCCUGAUGCAGCCAUGCCGCGUGUAUGAAGAAGGCCUUCGGGUUGUAAAGUACUUUCAGCGGGGAGGAGGGAUUGUGGUUAAUAACCGCAGUCAUUGACGUUACCCGCAGAAGAAGCACCGGCUAACUCCGUGCCAGCAGCCGCAGUAAGAC